GAUGAACGCUGGCGGCGUACCUAACACAUGCAAGUCGAGCGUGAAUCUUUCGAGUGGAGACUUCGGUUGAAGCGAGAAAGAGGAAAGCGGCGGACGGGUGAGUAACGCGUGGGCAACCUGCCCCAUACAGCCGGAUAGCCACUGGAAACGGUGAUUAAUACGGCAUAAGACCACACUGCCACAUGGUAGAGCGGCCAAAGAUUUAUCGGUAUGGGAUGGGCCCGCGUCUGAUUAGCUAGUUGGUGAGGUAACGGCUCACCAAGGCGACGAGCAGUAGCCGACCUGAGAGGGCGGACGGUCACACUGGAACUGAGACACGGUCCAGACUCCUACGGGAGGCAGCAGUGGGGAAUAUUGCACAAUGGGCGCAAGCCUGAUGCAGCAACGCCGCGUGAGUGAAGAAGGCCUUCGGGUCGUAAAGCUCUGUCCUGUGGGACGAAACAAAUGACGGUACCACAGGAGGAAGCCCCGGCUAACUACGUGCCAGCAGCCGCAGUAACAC
rnacentral:rRNA from 1 species